CAGCAACCUCAGUCAUUAUAACACUCACGGUGGCUGGAAUUCCCAUCAAGUGAUCUGUGAGGGAAUUUCCAGAUGACCAUGAAGUGACAGAGCAGAAUGAGGG
ensembl:miRNA Mir6241 microRNA 6241